rnacentral:lncRNA from 1 species
AUCAUCUACUCGUACAUGUGGAGGUAAUUUGGAGAUGUGGCUGCUUUAGCUUCCUACCAAAGAAGCAUAAAGAAACAGAGGCCUUUAUAAAGAAAUAUCAUAGUUAAUCCAGGCACUUUGCCACUUGCAAUGCACAAAGCAGCAGCAUCCCUUGGCUGUACCAUGGAGUGCAGACACGUAUAUACUCUCAGCCAUGAUGUUCACUGUGCACAAAGAUGAGAGAUGUCAGAAAGAGUAAGUACACAAUGACUUCAAAAGAAUUCCUAUAAAACUACAAAGAUUUAUCUAGGGUUCUGUCUAUUGAUCUGAUUUCAUGGUAACACAAUAUCAUGAUAGAAUCUAUGCAUGUUACUACUAACGUUUGUUUCUGUUUGAUGACUGACGGUAUGUAUGGAUGGACAACAUCGGG